UAGGGAAUCUUCGGCAAUGGACGAAAGUCUGACCGAGCAACGCCGCGUGAGUGAAGAAGGUUUUCGGAUCGUAAAACUCUGUUGUUAGAGAAGAACAAGGACGUUAGUAACUGAACGUCCCCUGACGGUAUCUAACCAGAAAGCCACGGCUAACUACGUGCCAGCAGCCGCGGUAAUACGUAGGUGGCAAGCGUUGUCCGGAUUUAUUGGGCGUAAAGCGAGCGCAGGCGGUUUCUUAAGUCUGAUGUGAAAGCCCCCGGCUCAACCGGGGAGGGUCAUUGGAAACUGGGAGACUUGAGUGCAGAAGAGGAGGGUGGAAUUCCAUGUGUAGCGGUGAAAUGCGUAGAUAUAUGGAGGAACACCGGUGGCGAAGGCGGCUCUCUGGUCUGUAACUGACGCUGAGGCUCGAAAGCGUGGGGAGCAAACAGG
rnacentral:rRNA from 1 species